AUACCAGCAUAGCUGUGGGCUCUAACACGUGGUAGUACAGAGUAGGGUUGGAACCCAGAGGCUUCAUUAAUGAAACCUGGCAUAUAGGGGUGGAACGGUACACUGAAGUCUCGGUUCAUACCGCGGUUCAGACAUCACGGUUCGGUACGAGUUUGGUACAACGGAGGGAAAAGCAAAACAAACCAGGUUCCUCUACGAGUGAAUACGGCGCAUUGAAGAUGACAUUGAUUGGCACACCUGGGUGAUGGCGUCGGAUAUUUUUUGUCAUUUAGCACACGCCAGAUGCGUUAUAUGCGUUAGCAUGUUAGAUGUAUUUCCAGUCACAUACCCCACAACCAGUGCCGUGCGGUGAUAUCAGUAAGAGGCUAGGCACUUAAAUGGGAAAAUGUGUCCAAACUUUUGACUGGUAGCCUACUGUACAUGUUGAAGAAUACAGGAUCGAAGUGCGCAAGUGAGUUUUUCGCUUGUCGUCCGCAGUGAACGGACAGUAAAAGCACUGCUUAUUCUACAA